rnacentral:rRNA from 1 species
GUAAACGAUGUCAACUAGCCGUUGAGACUCUUGAAGUCUUAGUGGCGCAGCUAACGCACUAAGUUGACCGCCUGGGGAGUACGGCCGCAAGGCUAAAACUCAAAUGAAUUGACGGGGGCCCGCACAAGCGGUGGAGCAUGUGGUUUAAUUCGACGCAACGCGAAGAACCUUACCUGGCCUUGACAUGCAGAGAACUUUCCAGAGAUGGAUUGGUGCCUUCGGGAACUCUGACACAGGUGCUGCAUGGCCGUCGUCAGCUCGUGUCGUGAGAUGUUGGGUUAAGUCCCGUAACGAGCGCAACCCCUAUCCCUAGUUGCUAGCAGUUCGGCUGAGAACUCUAGGGAGACUGCCGGUGACAAACCGGAGGAAGGUGGGGAUGACGUCAGGUCAUCAUGGCCCUUACGGCCAGGGCUACACACGUGCUACAAUGGUGCGUACAGAGGGCUGCAAACCCGCGAGGGGGAGCUAAUCUCACAAAACGCAUCGUAGUCCGGAUCGGAGUCUGCAACUCGACUCCGUGAAGUCGGAAUCGCUAGUAAUCGCGAAUCAGAAUGUCGCGGUGAAUACGUUCCCGGGCCUUGUACACACCGCCCGUCACACCAUGGGAGUGGAUUGCACCAGAAGUGGUUAGUCUAACCUUCGGGAGGACGAUCACCACGGUGUGGUUCACGACUGGGGUG